rnacentral:lncRNA from 1 species
AUGCAAAAAAUCCAAAAUGAGCCCUACAAGGAUUAUUCAUUAUAUCGGGGCUUCCAUAGACUCCACCCGAGCUCGUAUAGUCCUCCCACUCGACAAACAACAAAACUUCAUCUCCCUCCUCCAAGGUUUCACCCCCACGCUUUGGUUCCUGCCAUCCUCGUCCAAUGUGUACUAGGCACCAUGGCCUCCAUGACCUCAGUCUUACAACACGUACGCCUGAAGAUGAGGUCUCUACAAUUGUGGUUUCUCACACUUUUCGACCCACUGACAGAUCCUCCCAACACUCUUUUAAGAGUUACUCCCGAAUUUGCCUCACAACUCCAAUGGUGGCACUUCAUCCCAAAUCUCUCUAUGGGAUGCCCUUUCCAGCAACCAUGUCCUCAAAUACAGGUCACAAAUGAAGCCAGGCUUACCGUCUGGGGAGCACAUUGUGGCUCUCUCAAAAUACAUGCCAAUUGGUCCCGCAGAGAACGUUCACUCCACAUCAACAAGUUAGAACUAUUAGCAGUAAUAAAGGCAUUCAGAAACGUUCUAGCUGGCAAGGUGGUCCAGAUUGCCACCGACAACACCACAGCCAUGUACUGUAUUCUCACACAAGGAGGCGCACACUCCCCAAGCCUCCUCUGUUUGGCAGUCGACCUAUGGGAAUGGUGCCUCUCGCACCAUAUAUGCCUCACAGCUUUGCACAUGGCAGGCCAGGACAACAACCUAGCCAACUCUCUCAGCCGCACAAACUCACAACCCCACGAGUGGGAAUUAGAUCAAACAGUUUUCCUCCACCUAUGCAAAAGAUGGGGAAAACUGACUCUAGACCUUUUUGCCUCCCACAAGAAUCGGAGAUGCAAGUGCUGUUGCUCCCGUGCUGGGAUUGGCAAACACUCCCGAGGAGAUGCGUUUGUUGGCCACUGGCCCCAGACCCUCACAUAUCUCUUCCCACCAUUCCCAUUCCUCGACAGGGUAAUUGUCCAAAUACAACAGGACAAACCCAACACCAUCCUCAUUGCUCCUUGGUGGCCGAGACAGCCCUGGUUUGCAGUGCUACACCACCUGUCCUCCGAUGUUUAUCACCUUCCCCACCUACCACAUCUCCUGACGCAGAACAAUUCCUAG